GAGCUGAGAUUGAGAGUUGGAUGGCUAACUGACUGAGCCACCCAGACACCCCUAAAAAUUCUUAAUGGCAUUAUACCACAACACCCUGGGGUGGCAGUUUGAGAAUAGUGACAAAAGAAGAUAGUGCCAGCUGAGCCUCUGACCAGACUCGGCUGAAUUCCCAGAAAGUAACCAGCACCAAAUGCCAGCUGUGUCCUCAAAUGUGAUCUUACUUGAAGAUAGCGUCUUUAUAGAAGUCAUCAAAUUAAAAUGAGGUUAUAAGGUUGGGCCAUAAUCCAACAAGUGGUGUCUCUAUAAGAAGGGGACAUAGAUACGCAUGGAUGUGAAGAGACACAGGGAAGACUAUCCACAAACCAAGGAAGGGGGCCUGGAAUAGAUCCUUUCCUCACAGCCCUCACAAAGAAUCGAUACUGCCCACACUUUGAAUUUGGAUUUCAAGCCUCUGGAAGUUUCCAAUGCAGACCUUCUCUACCUAAAUGAUGACUGCUUAUCUUCACAGGACAUAAACAGGACAAAAGACAUGAAUCUACACUCCUACUCCAAAUAAAAGAGUUUUGUAUUUCAUCAAUGAUAUUGACAUCCUUCCUGUUACAAAAGCCAAAAACUUGCUUUGGAUUUGUGUGUGCAUGUGUGACUUAUACACAAAUAACAUUUAAUUGGCAAAUUAAACAUGCCUGGCAUAUUUGAUUAAAU